rnacentral:snoRNA from 1 species
AUGAAUGAUGCAAUGCACUGGGCUUUGGGCUAUUUUCGCUUGCAAAUUGAUGGAAAUACAUUUUCCUAAAAAGCAUUGUCCAACCA